AGCUCUGGUGUGCCAGUUGUCCUGCCAAGGGCACGGCUGGUUAGCCACCUCCGGAAGGGAUAACUGCUGAAAGCAUCUAAGUAGGAAACCCGUUCCAAGAUGAGGACACCCAUGCGGUCAACGCAGUAAGGCCCGUGACAAGACCAUCACGUUGAUAGGCCGGAAGUGUACGCACGGCAACGUGUUCAGCUGACCGGUACUAAUCGGCCGAGGGCUUGGUUUG
rnacentral:rRNA from 1 species